UACGGGGGGAGCAAGCGUUGUUCGGAUUUACUGGGCGUAAAGGGCGCGUAGGCGGCGUGACAAGUCACUUGUGAAAUCUCCGGGCUUAACCCGGAGCGGUCAAGUGAUACUGUCGUGCUAGAGUGCGGAAGGGGCUACUGGAAUUCUCGGUGUAGCGGUGAAAUGCGUAGAUAUCGGGAGGAACACCAGUGGCGAAGGCGGCGACCUGGGCCAAUAUUGACGCUGAGGUGCGAAAGCGUGGGGAGCAAACAGG
rnacentral:rRNA from 1 species